GUGCUCGCUUUGGCAGCACAUAUACUAAAAUUGGAACGAUGCAGAGAAGAUUAGCAUGGCCCCUGCACAAGGAAGACAUGCAAAUCUGUGAAGUGUUCCAUAUUAAA
ensembl:snRNA U6 U6 spliceosomal RNA